GACAGAGGGUGCAAACGUUGUUCGGAAUUACUGGGCGUAAAGCGCGUGUAGGCUGCUCGGAAAGUCGGAUGUGAAAGCCCUGGGCUCAACCUAGGAAGUGCAUUCGAAACUUCCGAGCUGGAGUCCUGGAGAGGAAGGCGGAAUUCUCGGUGUAGAGGUGAAAUUCGUAGAUAUCGAGAGGAACACCGGUGGCGAAGGCGGCCUUCUGGACAGUGACUGACGCUGAGACGCGAAAGCGUGGGGAGCAAACAGG
rnacentral:rRNA from 1 species